GAGAACAAAAGAAAAAUUAGAAGAGGGUCCUGCUAGCUCCACCUUGAGAACACUGGGAGUAUGGGCUUACAGCAGAAGAGGAAAGUGGUGAGGUCACCAGCCGAGGAGUGGAUGGGGAGAAGAGAGAACGGAAACUCAUUGAGAAAUACAUUGUGUCAGCUGGGAAACCGGACAGGGUCAUUGGCCACCAGGCCACGAGGACAAAGGGAGCAGAAUCGAUGAACAGGAUUUCAGAUGGCCGAGGAUCCUGGUUCAGUACUCAGCACCCACAUCAUGGCUCAUCACCGUAUCUCCAGUUCCCGAGGACACAACCUCCUCUUCUGAAACUUGGUGGGUACAGAGUGCACAUACAGACAUUCAGGAGAAACAUUG
ensembl:lincRNA 0610043K17Rik RIKEN cDNA 0610043K17 gene